AAACUGUUUGAUAAACUAUGAUAUCAUUUGCCUAUAUUAAGAAUUCACAAGACCUAUAAAUCUUUUUCACUUCAAAUGCGAUUUGAUAUUUAACCUACCAGUCUAAAUACAUAUAGCUUUUAUCCCAGUUUAUAGACUCAUGUUAUUGACAAUUCAAUACUAUUAAGCUACCAUAUCUAUAGUAAUAGGCACAAUUUGCUGAUUGCAUUAACUACGCCUUUUUGAAAACAUAUAAAUGCGACGUUAGACUGCUCUAUGCUUUCCCUUUUAACCCAGUCUUUGUACAACACGUAGGUGAU